rnacentral:rRNA from 1 species
UACAGAGGUCCCAAGCGUUGUUCGGAUUCACUGGGCGUAAAGGGUGCGUAGGUGGUCGGGUAAGUCUGAGGUGAAAUCUCCGAGCUCAACUCGGAAACUGCCUUGGAUACUAUUCGGCUAGAGGGUUGGAGGGGGGACUGGAAUUCUCGGUGUAGCAGUGAAAUGCGUAGAUAUCGAGAGGAACACCAGUGGCGAAGGCGAGUCCCUGGACAACUCCUGACACUGAGGCACGAAAGCUAGGGGAGCAAACAGG